rnacentral:rRNA from 1 species
GAUGAACGCUAGCGAUAGGCCUAACACAUGCAAGUCGAGGGGCAUCACAUGAGGCAGCAAUGCCGAUGGUGGCGACCGGCGCACGGGUGAGUAACACGUAUGCAACCUGCCUUCAACAAGGGGAUAACCCGUUGAAAAACGGACUAAUACCCUAUAAUACAGGGGUCCCGCAUGGGGAUAUUUGUUAAAGAUUGAUCGGUUGAAGAUGGGCAUGCGUUCCAUUAGCUGGUUGGUGAGGUAACGGCUCACCAAGGCAACGAUGGAUAGGGGAACUGAGAGGUUUAUCCCCCACACUGGUACUGAGACACGGACCAGACUCCUACGGGAGGCAGCAGUGAGGAAUAUUGGUCAAUGGACGCAAGUCUGAACCAGCCACGUC